CACAGCCAUCCUGGGGUCACACAGUGCAUCACUCACGUGGGUGCAGUAAUGCUGGUGUGAACAAACCUGCUGCGCGGCCGGCAUGUAAGAGUCUAGCACAGACAGCUGUGUACAGUACAUAGUACUUGACAAUGAUCAUCAACGAUUAUGGUCCUGGUUUAUGUAUUUACUACACUGAAAACAAAGAGGGAUCACUGGUGCCUUUACAUGUUGAAUUCCAGAAACCAGCCACUCCAGCCAAGACACACGUGGAGAGUGGACUUUGGCAAUGGCCGUGGCUUUGGCAGAACUCUGACCGUGUCAGGCUCCUUCUUCCCUUGUAGAAAUAAGGCCAGACUGUGCCGAGGCCUCAAUGCCCGCCUGCGGACUGAAGGACCAAAGGCCGCUGUAGGCGAUGAUCAUCCCCAAUCACGGCCCUCGACCGGAGCGCACUUCCCGGCAUCUGGAGCCAUCUGCAUCUGUCUCCUUUGCAGUCUGCCGGUAAUUGGGUCUGAAAUCACACGCGUCCCACUCAGCUACAUUUACAUUUCCUUCUUGCGCUGUUUUUAUAUCCAGAGCUGUUGA
ensembl:lincRNA